GGAUUCUGGGUUUUCCAGUUGUACAGGUCAGAAGUGGAAAAGGGAACAUAUGCCAGGAAUGGGCAGGUGCCUGGUUCUGCCCCAUUGGGAGGUGGGGCCUCCCUCAAAGGCAAGAGAGCCUCUGGACUGCGUCUUUCCAAGGUGGUGACCACCUGUCAGGAUUGGAGAUGCUCUCCUAUAGGGGGAGAGGUAGCAGGCUGGAACUUUGUCAAGCAGCAAUGGAGGUCGGUUGGGCUUCGCCAUUUCUGCAAGCCUCGGGAGGGACCAGGAGGGACCAGGACCCCUGUAUUGACGUCGGGGCUGAGAUGCUGCUGAUGUUUCCACUGGAGAAAGGCGAAAAGGCUCCGAAAUGCUUCCUCCGAACCAGAAGGCUCCUUAUCUGCAGACCAGAGCAGGUGGACUCUGGAAAAUUUGGAGGGUGACCCAGGCAUCUCUGCAAUCCACUCAGUGUCAGCAGUGAGACUACGGGGCCCUGGACUGUCUCGGGGGCACCUUCCAUACAGUUUGCUGCUGCAGAUGGGAGGGACCACAGCAAGGCCAGUCCACCCACCGUGGUGAUCUUGCUGGGGCCUCCAGCUGUUAUGGGCGAGCGAGUUGGAAUAAUAGAGAUGUGCCACACUCUGAGCCAGAAUUGAGUCUGUUUUAUAUACAGCAGGUGACCAAGAGGGGUUAGUGCCCAGAAAGUUCUCUUGGCCCUGAGAGACAGUUUGAUUUCUCCUUUUAAAUCAUGCUUUCAGUUGGGGAGGGCUCAAGGGGAGAACAAGUGAAAUUUUA
rnacentral:lncRNA from 1 species